rnacentral:rRNA from 1 species
CCUACGGGAGGCAGCAGUGGGGAAUAUUGGGCAAUGGGCGCAAGCCUGACCCAGCAACGCCGCGUGAAGGAAGAAGGCUUUCGGGUUGUAAACUUCUUUUGACAGGGAAGAGUAGAAGACGGUACCUGUCGAAUAAGCCACGGCUAACUACGUGCCAGCAGCCGCGGUAAUACGUAGGUGGCAAGCGUUGUCCGGAUUUACUGGGUGUAAAGGGCGUGUAGCCGGGUUGACAAGUCAGAUGUGAAAUCCUGCGGCUUAACCGCAGAACUGCAUUUGAAACUGUUGAUCUUGAGUACGGGAGAGGCAGACGGAAUUCCUAGUGUAGCGGUGAAAUGCGUAGAUAUUAGGAGGAACACCAGUGGCGAAGGCAGUCUGCUGGACAGCAACUGACGGUGAGGCGCGAAAGCGUGGGGAGCAAACAGGAUUAGAUACCCGAGUAGUC